UCUUCUCAAAUCUCAGAGAAAGUUUCUGAUGGUUAGAUAGUUUCUUAUUCACCUUGACUCUUUAAGUUUUUUUGUGUUUGUUCAUAUUUCUUGAAAUUGUACACGCUAUCUCGCAAACUGGCAUGUAACAAAUUCUCUGCUUAGAAGCUAUUAAGUCCUGCCAGGUUGGGGAUCUUCCAUGAUUAGCACAUGGAACCAAUUUUUAGCUCCAACAUACCACAAGAUGACAUAGUUGAUCUAAUAUUCAUAUUUGCAACUUUGUUACAGGCACAAAAUACCAGGGUAAUGGAUCAAAUAGGGGUAAACUAUCGGUUGAUGAUUUUCUUUAUCUAAUCCUCAAGGUACUUUUAAUCGAAAGUUUUUUUGGUUGUCACAAUACAGGAUGUUUGACCAGAUGAAUUAGUGCUUACUUCUCUAUUUGAGAUGAAUUAUUUGCUUAAAUUCCAUCUAUGAGAUUACUGUCUGAGGUUUGUUACAGUUUAUGGUCUUUGUGCCUUUUCUCUCUCAAUGUUCAUCUAUUUCUGAUUUGACAUUUCCUAUUUAUGGGUUUUGACUCUUUUUUUUUGGGUCCUUUUCUAUAAUGUUCCAGAAGAUUCAUCAGGAUGUGGAGGAGCUUCCAUGCACUUGGAAACACUAUUUUAGCCUACUCAUACUCUAUUAUCCUAAUUGAAAUUCAGGUUUUGCAGCAGUGGAAAAUGAAGGUUUGGUGAUAGAAGAACUUUUACUAUAUGAAGUGGUAUAGGCCCUGUUGAUAUAAAUGGGGGUAUCUUCUGGAUGUAAUUGACUUGGUGUCCAGUAGAAGAUUUGUAAUAGAGACUAGAAACGGUUAAGAUUGAUGCACAUAACGUUAAUGGGGCAACAUUUACGAUGAAUUUUUCGGACCUUCCUGCACGUGUAUUUCAACAUGAAUAUUUGACCAUUUACAGGCUUUGGAUUGUUCAAGAUAGGCCUGAAGUUGUUGCUUAAUUUCCGACCUUAGGAUGCAAUGUUUGCCGGGGGCUACCUGUCCAAGAUAUCUCUGUUUUAACAUUUUGCUGAAGUUAUGGGUUGAAUUUAGUUCUCAUUAUCUCAGGUGGGACAGAGGUGCAUGAGGUGUGGCAAUCUUUUGGUUUUCGCUCUGUUCUUGAGAAAGUAGCAACACUCUUGAUUUUCGAGAAUAUUGGAGAACAAUAUGCCAGUAAAGGAGAGGAUGUUAACCGACCUUUACUUCCAAAGCAAGCUACUUUUUACGAAGAUUUGGUAAUUUGGUUGAAUUAUUCUUAUUAUAUUUUAUCGUACCAUAUUUUAUGUUGUACGAUCUGAGAAAUAUAGCACUAAAAUAUAUGUGACAUGCUAUUGUUGUUGUUGUUCAAGCAUGUGUUUCUGUGGACAAUAUUUGUUUUUGCAAAGGAGUACUCAGAUCUGACUUCUCCUAAGUUUCUUAAUGUCAAAAGUGGCUGCUCAUUGUUUUUGAAUUCAAA